rnacentral:lncRNA from 1 species
AUUAAUAAGUCUCCUCCCCUCUUUUUUGCCUUCAGAAGAAUUCAAUUUUUUGUUAAUAUAUUUUGCUGAGUAGCCUUCAGCUUUGAUUUUGUUUUGAUCCAUGUUUUGUGUAGUUCCAUUAAUAUGCCCUAAGGCCGUUAUAGUGUGACCAAUUUUAGAAAUUGAAGCACAAAUAAUAUAAAAAUAUACACUGGUGAUUUUAUAUUCAUUUUCCCUUCCUGUUUGUACAAUCAGUAUUGCAGUGCAUAUCAUGAAGUCAAAGAGUAAAAUCAUGGCAUCUUACAAGUUGAAAGAGUGAGAAGUCCUCUACCUGAGCCUCCCACCCAAAACAAAUCCAGAACACUCCCCACAGAGAAUCACCAAAUUACAGCUGAAUUUCUUAACAGUGAGAAAAGAUACUACCUCAUAAACCUUUCUGUUUUAAGUAGUUCUCAUUGUUUGACCAUUUUUUUCCUAUUAGUAAAUUAAAAUAUCUCCCUGGUACCAUACAGUGAUCCUAGAUUUUUCAUUCACAUUACAAAAGAGCUAUUAUAUCUCAUACCAAAUCUUCUCUUUUCUAGGCUUAACAUCCCUAAUCCUUUGUUCCUCAAAAGACAAUUUCCAGAGUCUUCAUUAUUUGUCGUUUGGAUAUACCCCAGUUUGCCAAAGCUCCUCUUAAAAUGUGGUUACGUACAUAAGUUAGGGUGCUUCUGUCUAAAAGUAAAGGAAAACCCACCUAAAAGUAGUGACAACCCUAAAAGUGACUUAAAUAUAAGUAUUUUAUUAUUUCACAUCAAAAACAAUACAUCUGGAAAUGUCGUUCCACAUGCUCAUUGAUGUUAUCAAGGACUAUAUACUUUGUGUCUUUCUUCUGUGUCAUCCUCAACGCAAGGGAUUUUAUCCUCAUACUUAGCUCUCAUGGUUGGUUGCAAGGUACCACAGCAGCUCCAAGCAAAACCUCUUUAUGAAACGACUUCCAAGAGGAAACAGCAUCUAAGCUAAAGUUUGAAAGAUGUGUCAGUUAACCAGAGUUAGAAGGUUCUAGUCAGAGAACAGGUGAGAGACAAGAGUAUGUACUGGAGCAUGGAAGAUUCCAAGAGAACUGCC